rnacentral:rRNA from 1 species
UGGGGAAUAUUGCACAAUGGGCGCAAGCCUGAUGCAGCCAUGCCGCGUGUAUGAAGAAGGCCUUCGGGUUGUAAAGUACUUUCAGCGAGGAGGAAGGCGUUGUGGUUAAUAACCGCAACGAUUGACGUUACUCGCAGAAGAAGCACCGGCUAACUCCGUGCCAGCAGCCGCGGUAAUACGGAGGGUGCAAGCGUUAAUCGGAAUUACUGGGCGUAAAGCGCACGCAGGCGGUCUGUCAAGUCGGAUGUGAAAUCCCCGGGCUCAACCUGGGAACUGCAUCCGAAACUGGCAGGCUAGAGUCUUGUAGAGGGGGGUAGAAUUCCAGGUGUAGCGGUGAAAUGCGUAGAGAUCUGGAGGAAUACCGGUGGCGAAGGCGGCCCCCUGGACAAAGACUGACGCUCAGGUGCGGAAGCGUGGGGAGCAAACA